UGAAACCUACUGGGGGCAGCAGUAGGGAAUCUUGCUCAAUGGGGUCACCCCUGAAGCAGCAACGCCGCGUGGAGGAUGAAGGUUUUCGGAUUGUAAACUCCUUUUGUUAGAGAAGAUAAUGACGGUAUCUAACGAAUAAGCACCGGCUAACUCCGUGCCAGCAGCCGCGGUAAUACGGAGGGUGCAAGCGUUACUCGGAAUCACUGGGCGUAAAGAGCGCGUAGGCGGGAUAGCAAGUCAGAUGUGAAAUCCUAUGGCUUAACCAUAGAACUGCAUUUGAAACUGUUAUUAUAGAGUAUGGGAGG
rnacentral:rRNA from 1 species